rnacentral:misc_RNA from 1 species
CCCACACCUUGUGACUCCAGGCCUCACGUGAUCAAUAGACGAACCCUAAGAAUACUGUCAAUUUGAGAAUGCCUACCCUGUCAGGCAUAUUCUAAAUUGAGUAUAUUACUAGCCAAGCUGCAAAUAAAUUGCAAAUACAAUCAAGCGUCACAAUUUCACUUAAAUUCAACACAGUAUUCUAAAUUUAGUUUGACUAUAAGCUUGGCUAAGCGCGUCCUAAAGGCACUAUGAAGGAUAGUGCAUCCCCCGUGGAGCCCCAGGACACUCGCUGCAGCUGGAAAACCACGGCCCACGAUAUCAACACUACCGCCCAAGUUAUUGCACCUGCUCCGCUCAUAAUUACAUCUGGAAAUAACAAUUUUUUUAUUUGCCUCUGUUCUUCAAAAGGUGGUCUGAUGAAUGCUUCUUUAAAAAACCAGAUCGCAUUCACCGCCCACACAAACGGCAGUAGCACUAAACCAACU